rnacentral:lncRNA from 1 species
ACAGAUGAGAAAACUGAAACAUUGAGAAGUCAAGUAACUUGCUCAAGAUUAUAUAGCUAGUGCAUAGAGGGGCAAAGAUUUGAACCAGAUUGCCUGGUUCCACAUGCACUUUAACCUGCUUUAUUUAGGCUUUUGAAAGCAACCUAAAUAGCUAACAUUGACUAAAUAAGUGCAGUAUACCUGGUCUGUGUGACAUUUUGCAGGUAUUAAAAAGUGAACAUUCUGAACCCUUUUAGCAAUAUGGCAAAUACUUCUGAUGUGAUGUAUGCAUAUAAAUAUGAUCGAAAGCAAAUAUCCCAAAAGGUUGAUGGCAGUUAUGUCAGGUUAGUAGCACAAUAGUUUCUUUUCUCAUUUUCUCACAUUUUUAGUAAUGUGUGUUGCCUAUAUUAAAAAACAAAUAUUAAAAAGUAGUAGCAUGUAUUAGAUCAGAGCAUGGGCUCAGACUGCCUGUGUCAUCUCUUAUUAGAUGUAUGACCAGGGACAAGUUAUUGACCUUUUGUUUCUAAGUCUCUAAGUUUAUCCUGUAAAAUGAAGAUAAUUGUAGUAACUACCUAAUAACAUGAUUGUAAGGAUUAAAUUAUUUAGAACACUAUUUGUUACUUGGAAAAUAUGCAAUCAUAAGCUAUUUUGUUGUUAUUGUUAUUUUACUACCAAAGCUUAUUGUUUCAGAGCCCCUAGGUGACCAGGCAAAAUGGCAGUUCCUUCCAGCUGGUCCUCAGAUGGGCACAUCUAUUAGCCUCUGCUCUUGUAAGAAGUUAGCUGCAGAACCCACAUGUGAAUCCUUGUAGGACUCUGGAGAAGAUCAAAUGGGAGCUUAGAUGUGGAAGCUCUUUGGAAACCAAGAAACACUCUGAAAAUGAAAAGGGUGGAAGAGUAAACUGUUCCUGUUUCUCCAUCUUGACAGGAAGCAGAAGUUCUCCUUAGCUGAUUUUUCUUCUUGCCUUAUACUGGGUUCUUUAACACCAGAACAAAAAUAAAUAAAUAAAAGAAUCUUCCAGAAAUUCAUGAAGAGACUUCAGGUCAGGAAAGCCUGAACUUUCUCAUCCAACACCCGUUCAAGUCGGAGGAUGCUGAUUAAUUCAUGAUGGAAAGGUAUCAAUUUCACAGCCCAGACCUCUACAUUCUUGAAAUGCUCUUCUCAUGGGAGACAUUAAAUAAGCUUUGAAUUAACUGGACUUAUCUUCCUCAGUUCUCUGUGAUGAACUUUUGUAGAGCCAUACGAAAGGAGGUUUUUAGCUCUCACCUGUGGUCUUUCUUCAUCAUGCACCUCCUAGAUUCAAAAGUUCAGCAGGGACAUGUCAAGCUAUAUAAAUAAAAACAAACUAAGAAAAAAUGUAACAUUCCAUACCUUAAAACGCAACCUUAAUAACGUGAAAGACCCUGAAGGACUUGAGACGUGAAGAUUUUCUACCACGGUCUUUGCCUGUAUUAUUUCUGACAGCUGUUCCUUUCUACUCCCUCUUGCACACAUCUUUAGUUACUCCCUGUUCUCCAUCCCUCUGAUAAAAUCUAGAGUUCCCCCCUCAAAUUAGAAAAUUAAAAAAAAUUAAAAAUCUAAAAUUAAAAUUUAAAAAAUUUUUAAAAAUCUAGAGUUUAAAAAAAAUGUUCUAUCUCAGGCUUGUGAACCAUAUUGUUAGUUCACAAUUAAGAAUGAUGUACAUCUAUUGGACAAGUUUUAAUUAAUUCUUUCCCUUGGCUGAUUAGUAAAUUUCUGCAGUGAGUACAAAUGUU